rnacentral:rRNA from 1 species
CAGUCGCCACGGGAAUACAGAGGGUGCAAGCGUUAAUCGGAAUUACUGGGCGUAAAGCGCGCGUAGGUGGUUUGUUAAGUUGGAUGUGAAAUCCCCGGGCUCAACCUGGGAACUGCAUUUGUGACUGUAUAGCUAGAGUACGGCAGAGGGGGAUGGAAUUCCGCGUGUAGCAGUGAAAUGCGUAGAUAUGCGGAGGAACACCGAUGGCGAAGGCAAUCCCCUGGGCCUGUACUGACGCUCAUGCACGAAAGCGUGGGGAGCAAACAGGAUUAGAGACCCCAGUAGUCCCUGUCUCUUAUAC